GAUGAACGCUGGCGGCGUGCCUAAUACAUGCAAGUCGAGCGAACGGACGAGAAGCUUGCUUUUCUGAUGUUAGCGGCGGACGGGUGAGUAACACGUGGAUAACCUACCUAUAAGACUGGGAUAACUUCGGGAAACCGGAGCUAAUACCGGAUAAUAUUUUGAACCGCAUGGUUCAAAAGUGAAAGACGGUCUUGCUGUCACUUAUAGAUGGAUCCGCGCUGCAUUAGCUAGUUGGUAAGGUAACGGCUUACCAAGGCAACGAUGCAUAGCCGACCUGAGAGGGUGAUCGGCCACACUGGAACUGAGACACGGUCCAGACUCCUACGGGAGGCAGCAGUAGGUAAUCUUCCGCAAUGGGCGAAAGCCUGACGGAGCAACGCCGCGUGAGUGAUGAAGGUCUUCGGAUCGUAAAACUCUGUUAUUAGGGAAGAACAUAUGUGUAAGUAACUGUGCACAUCUUGACGGUACCUAAUCAGAAAGCCACGGCUAACUACGUG
rnacentral:rRNA from 1 species